rnacentral:lncRNA from 1 species
AGCCACUCUAAAAAAAAAANAAAAAAAAAAAAAAAAAAAAACAGCUGAUACCUGCAUAAUGCCUGGCUCUUUGUAUUUUCACUUUGACAUCUGUUUUAGCCAAUCAAUUUUUCAUUGAAGCCAAAAUGCUGCUUUAAAAUUUGCCUUGGCUUUCUCCUUUUAAGACAAGAACAAAUUUAUGAAGAAAAUACUCCUUUACAAAACGCAAUGCCGGCUCCCCAAGCUGUGUGGAUCUUAAUAAGUGGCAUAGUUUUGAAGACUCGCUUUGAAUAGUCUAGAUAUUAAGACGGAUGAUUUAAAGAAUCCACGGAACUUAUUUUCAGAGCGCAUUUACAUGUCUUUCAAACAGAUUUUUUUAUUAUGACGUGUCCAAGAUGAGCUUGCAGAGAUUUAGCUUCGUUUAAGAAGAGCAGCGCCCAAGUACAGAAUUGAAAUUAGUUGAAAACACACAUCUGCAUUUUAAACUUUAAGCUCGCUUUCAAAAUACCCUGUGCAAUCCAUGUUUACUAUAAAUACGGCGAGAUCCUAGCAUUCAAAGCCAAUCAUCUUUGAAGAAAAGAAUUUUAAAAAGCUGCGAGGCUAUUAAAGACGGUGGCAUACCACAAAGCUGAUUGUGAACGGGGACUCUGAAGUUAUGAAUUCUGGACUUAAUGACUGUUACUGCCUCUUCUAUUAUUUUCUUUAAUGAAUCUUAUUAUUUGUCAGUGUACGCUUCCUUUUAUGGGGCUCCGACACACUUGGUGCCUGGCUCUCCACUGGACCCCCAGCUAGUCCCGAACAGGCCAGAAGCGACCCCCCACUUUUUUGGCUCAGUCUGCAUGCAAAGAGUGGGGGCCACCUGAUGGUCUGAACAAACUGGGAAGGAAACCAGGCAUUUCUCCAGAGCAGGAAAACUCUCUGGAGAGGAUGGGUGAGGAACAGUUCUGAUUCCAGAAAAAACUUCUCCAGUUACUCAGUGUAUCCUGACUGCAGGGGUGAAUCAGUCCUAUCACAGAAGACUUGUGGAAAAAAGGCAGGUCAACAAUAGAAAGCAAUUUUCUAAAUGUAUAGGAUCUCAG